GACGAACGCUGGCGGCGUGCCUAAUACAUGCAAGUCGAACGCAGUGGGGACGGGUGAGUAACACGUUGGUAACCUCCCAUCAGAGGGGAUAACACUUGGAAACAGGUGCUGAACCGAUACUGAUGGAUGGACCCGCGUUCCAUUAGCUGGUUGGUGAGGUAACGGCUCACCAAGGCCACGAUGCAUAGCCAUCAUGCUGGGGGGCUCGGCCACACUGGGACGGAGACUGGGCCCAGACUGCUUCGGGAGGCAGCAGUAGGGAAUCGUCGGAAAUGGACGAAAGUCUGACCGAGCAACGCCGCGUGAGUGAAGAAGGUUUUCGAAUCGUAAAACUCUGUUGUUAGAGAAGCGGUAUCUAACCAGAAAGCCACGGCUAACUACGGGCCAGCAGCCGCGGUAAUUC
rnacentral:rRNA from 1 species